rnacentral:rRNA from 1 species
CCUACGGGAGGCAGCAGUGGGGAAUAUUGGACAAUGGGCGAAAGCCUGAUCCAGCAAUGCCGCGUGAGUGAUGAAGGCCUUAGGGUUGUAAAGCUCUUUUACCAGGGAUGAUAAUGACAGUACCUGGAGAAUAAGCUCCGGCUAACUCCGUGCCAGCAGCCGCGGUAAUACGGAGGGAGCUAGCGUUGUUCGGAAUUACUGGGCGUAAAGAGUACGUAGGCGGUUAUUCAAGUCAGAGGUGAAAGCCCGGGGCUCAACCCCGGAACUGCCUUUGAAACUAGAUAGCUAGAGUCUUGGAGAGGUUAGUGGAAUUCCGAGUGUAGAGGUGAAAUUCGUAGAUAUUCGGAAGAACACCAGUGGCGAAGGCGACUAACUGGACAAGUACUGACGCUGAGGUACGAAAGCGUGGGGAGCAAACAGGAUUAGAUACCCUGGUAGUCCACGCCGUAAACGAUGAUAACUAGUUGUUCGGGCACUUGGUGCCUGAGUGACGCAGCUAACGCAUUAAGUUAUCCGCCUGGGGAGUACGGUCGCAAGAUUAAAACUCAAAUGAAUUGACGG